GUGGAGCAAUCCAUGAGUAAAGUGGCGUACGGGUGAGUAACACGUGGAUCAUCUGCCCUUUAGUGGGGAAUACCGCUGGGAAACCGGCGACAAUACCGCAUAAUCUCGAGAGAGGAAAGCGUCUUUGCGAAAGUAAAGCCGCGCUGAAGGAGGAGUCCGCGGUCGAUUAGCUAGUUGGUGAGGUAAUGGCUCACCAAGGCUGUGAUCGAUAGCCGGCCUGAGAGGGCACACGGCCACACUGGCACUGAAACACGGGCCAGACUCCUACGGGAGGCAGCAGUGGGGAAUCUUGCACAAUGGGGGCAACCCUGAUGCAGCGACGCCGCGUGAGCGAUGAAGCCCUUCGGGGUGUAAAGCUCUUUCGGCAGGGAAGAUUAUGACGGUACCUGCAGAAGCAGCUGCGGCUAACUACGUGCCAGCAGCCGCGGUAAUACGUAGGCAGCAAGCGUUGUUCGGAGUUACUGGGCGUAAAGGGUGCGUAGGCGGCCCUAUAAGUAUGGUGUGAAAUCUCCUGGCUUAACCGGGAGGGUGCGCUAUAGACUGUGGGGCUCGAGUGUGGGAGAGGAAAGUGGAAUUCCUGGUGUAGCGGUGAAAUGCGUAGAUAUCAGGAGGAACACCGGUGGUGUAAACGGCUUUCUGGACCAUAACUGACGCUGAGGCACGAAAGCGUGGGUAGCAAACAGGAUUAGAUACCCUGGUAGUCCACGCCCUAAACGAUGCAUAUUUGGUGUGGGUCAUUCAGUUGAUCCGUGCCGGAGCUAACGCGUUAAAUAUGCCGCCUGGGGAGUACAGUCGCAAGGCUG
rnacentral:rRNA from 1 species